rnacentral:sRNA from 1 species
CGCGCCACAGGUGAUUUGCUUUGCCUUAUUUUUUAUUUUUAUUCUUAUUUUUUCAUCCUGCAGAGGUUAGUUAGGGCUCAUUGCAAAGGUAUGCGAGCCGAGGAUGACAAAUUUUGAUUCUUCCAGUCUUUUUUUCAUUUCUCUUUCACACGGAAGAAAUGUGACCUGCCCACAUGGACUGAUGUACCGUUCGUUACGGCAUCCAAGGAUCAUAUUUCAUCACAAUUGUAGGUGCGACAAUUGUGACCUGGCACUGUAGCUAAUCGCAGCCGUAUGUUGCUCUGGAAAUAUUUCUGGAGGCUACUGGCCACCAGGUGAGAAU